CCGACGGUGAGGGGCGAAGGCUGGGGGCGCAAACCGGAUUAGAUACCCGGGUGGUCCCAGCAGUAAACGAUGCCAGCUAUGUGUUGCUGGAACCAUGGGUCCCAGCAGUGCCGAAGGGAAGCCGUGAAGCUGGCCACCUGGGAAGUACGGUCGCAAGGCUGAAACUUAAAGGAAUUGGCNGGGGGAGUACCACAACCGGUGGAGCCUGCGGUUUAAUUGGAUACAACGCCGGGAAUCUUACCGGAGGGGACAGCAGUAUGAAGGCCAGGCUAAAGACCUUGCCAGAUCAGCUGAGAGGAGGUGCAUGGCCGUCGCCAGUUCGUACCGUGAGGCAUCCUGUUUAGUCAGGCAACGAUCGAGACCCGCAGUCUUAUUUGCCAGCAUGCCCUUUGGGGUGUAUGGGUACAAUAAGACGACCGCCAGCGCUAAGCUGGAGGAAGGAGCGGGCUACGGUAGGUCAGCAUGCCCCGAAUCCUCCGGGAUACACGCGGGCUACAAUGGUCAGGACAAAAGGUACCGACCUCGAAAGAGUGAGGUAAUCCACAAACCUGAUCUCAGUCCGGAUCGAAGGCU
rnacentral:rRNA from 1 species